rnacentral:rRNA from 1 species
UAUAGGCCGAUGGAUUAGCGCGCGAUUCGCCUGUGCCAGCAGCCGCGGUAAUUCCAGCUCCAAUAGCGUAUAUUAAAGUUGUUGCAGUUAAAAAGCUCGUAGUCGGAUUUCGGGUCGGGCCGAGCGGUCUGCCGAUGGGUAUGCACUGUUUGGCGCGGCCUUCUUUCCGGAGACCGCGGCUACUCUUAACUGAGCGGGCGUGGGAGACGGAUCGUUUACUUUGAAAAAAUCAGAGUGUUUCUAGCAGGCAGCUCGCUCUUGCAUAGGUUAGCAUGGGAUAAUUUAAUAGGACUCUGGUGCUAUUUUGUUGGUUUCGAACACCGGAGUAAUGAUUAAAAGGGGCAGUCAGGGGCACUCGUAUUCCGUCGAGAGAGGUGAAAUUCUCAGACCAAUGGAAGACGAACCACUGCGAAAGCAUUUGCCAGGGAUGUUUUCACUGAUCAAGAACGAAAGUUAGGGGAUCGAAGACGAUCAGAUACCGUCGUAGUCUUAACCAUAAACCAUGCCGACUAGGGAUUGGAGGGUGUUCGUUUCGACCUCUUCAGCACCUUACGGGAAACUAAAGUCUUUGGGUUCCGGGGGGAGUAUGGUCGCAAGGCUGAAACUUAAAGGAAUUGACGGAAGGGCACCACCAGGAGUGGAGCCUGCGGCUUAAUUUGACUCAACACGGGGAAACUUACCAGGUCCAGACAUUGUUAGGAUUGACAGAUUGAGAGCUCUUUCUUGAUUCGAUGGGUGGUGGUGCAUGGCCGUUCUUAGUUGGUGGAGUGAUUUGUCUGGUUAAUUCCGUUAACGAACGAGACCGUAGCCUGCUAAAUAGUUCCGCGAACUUCUUGUUGGCGGUCGACUUCUUAGAGGGACAACUUGUGACCAACAAGUGGAAGUUUGCGGCAAUAACAGGUCUGUGAUGC